rnacentral:pre_miRNA from 1 species
AUGAUACUCCCUCCGUCCGGAGUUACUUGUCAUCAAAAUGGAUGUGUCUAGAACUAAAAUACAUCUAUAUACAUCCAUUUCAAUGACAAGUAUUUUCGGACGGAGGGAGUAGUAG